rfam:Stegodyphus mimosarum contig26706, whole genome shotgun sequence.
GCUUUCGUGGUGUAGUGGUCAGCGCGCUCGACGUGUAACCGAGAGGUCCGUGGUUCGAUUCCCGGCGAAGGCG